GAUGAACGCUGGCGGCGUGCCUAAUACAUGCAAGUCGAGCGACCAGACGAGGAGCUUGCUCCUCUGACGUUAGCGGCGGACGGGUGAGUAACACGUGGAUAACCUACCUAUAAGACUGGGAUAACUUCGGGAAACCGGAGCUAAUACCGGAUAAUAUAUUGAACCGCAUGGUUCAAUAGUGAAAGACGGUUUUCCUGUCACUUAUAGAUGGAUCCGCGCCGCAUUAGCUAGUUGGUAAGGUAACGGCUUACCAAGGCAACGAUGCGUAGCCGACCUGAGAGGGUGAUCGGCCACACUGGAACUGAGACACGGUCCAGACUCCUACGGGAGGCAGCAGUAGGGAAUCUUCCGCAAUGGGCGAAAGCCUGACGGAGCAACGCCGCGUGAGUGAUGAAGGUCUUCGGAUCGUAAAACUCUGUUAUUAGGGAAGAACAAAUGUGUAAGUAACUAUGCACGUCUUGACGGUACCUAAUCAGAAAGCCACGGCUAACUACGUG
rnacentral:rRNA from 1 species